rnacentral:sRNA from 1 species
GGGGCCGCGGGCAGUGGCAGUCAGGCCUCCCCGCUCUGUGCCACCUGCGGCCCGGCUCUCCUCCGCGCCCCCACUCGCGCUGCGAUGACGCGCUCACUGUUCAAGGGAAACUUUUGGAGUGCAGACAUCCUCAGCACCAUCGGCUAUGACAACAUUAUCCAACAUCUGAACAAUGGCCGCAAGAACUGCAAAGAGUUUGAAGACUUUCUAAAAGAAAGGGCAGCAAUUGAAGAGAGAUAUGGCAAAGAUCUGCUCAACCUCUCUAGGAAGAAGCCGUGUGGACAGUCUGAAAUCAACACCCUGAAGCGGGCCCUUGAAGUCUUCAAGCAGCAAGUAGACAAUGUGGCACAAUGUCACAUUCAGCUUGCACAGAGUUUAAGAGAAGAGGCCAGGAAGAUGGAAGAAUUCAGGGAAAAGCAAAAACUACAACGAAAAAAGGUUGGAUUUGCAUAUGUGUUAAGGUGUUUCCUUUCCUCCUAUAGAAAACCGCAGGCUUGUUUGUUCAUUAUACUCCUCAGCUCAGCUCCCACCAUCAUGUAAUCAUGACCUGAGAAAUUACUUAUUGGAGUCCCCACAUGGGGACUCAAUCCAGAUGGGUAUAUGCAUUUCUACACCCCAGGCCAGUUGUCCUUUUUUAAAGUUCACAUAGGAUUCAGAGGUCCAGCUUGCAUUCCUCUUCAGGUCUGCUGCCGCUAUUCAGACUAUGAAUGGAAAGGGGAACCCUCUGACUUCAAUAGACUCUAGCACAUCCCAGCUGGACGGCUCCCGAAACCACACUCCUCAUCCUGGACAAGGCAAUAGGGGAAGGGAGAAGUAGUGGAAGAGACUCCCGCUCCCCCUGAAGACCAUAAUGUAGUCC